rnacentral:rRNA from 1 species
AGAGUUUGAUCCUGGCUCAGGAUGAACGCUGGCGGCGUGCCUAACACAUGCAAGUCGAACGGAAACAUAACGCUACUGAGAUUUCGGUCAAAGUUUGUUGUGUUUUAGUGGCGGACGGGUGAGUAACGCGUGGAUAACCUGCCAUAUACAGGGGGAUAACAGUUAGAAAUGACUGCUAAUACCGCAUAAGCGCACAGUCUCGCAUGGGACAGUGUGAAAAGCCGAGACGGUAUAUGAUGGAUCCGCGUCUGAUUAGCCAGUUGGCGGGGUAACGGCCCACCAAAGCGACGAUCAGUAGCCGGCCUGAGAGGGUGAACGGCCACAUUGGGACUGAGACACGGCCCAAACUCCUACGGGAGGCAGCAGUGGGGGAUAUUGCACAAUGGGGGAAACCCUGAUGCAGCGACGCCGCGUGAGUGAAGAAGUAUUUCGGUAUGUAAAGCUCUAUCAGCAGGGAAGAUAAUGACGGUACCUGACUAAGAAGCACCGGCUAAAUACGUGCCAGCAGCCGCGGU